GUUUGUGAAGAUGUGGAUUACCUGCACCUGGACAGAAAGACCUUAUGAAGCUUCACUGUUCCCUGGGAUUAGCUUUGGGCCUUUCCUGCACAACUUAGGUGGAAGGCGAAGAAGGCCCCCUUCCCCUCUCCCGCGGGGGGGGGGGGGGGGCGGCCAAAGCCAUCAGUGAGAUACCACUCUAGAAGAGCUAGAAUUCUAACCUUGUAUCAGAACCUACGGGCUAAAAGACAGUCUUAGGUAGACAAUUUUUAUGGGGCAUAGGCCUCCCAAAAGGUAAUGGAGGCGUGCAAAGGUUUCCUCGAGCCAGAGGGAGGCCUUCGACUACAAAGGCAGAAGAGAGCUUGACUGCAAGACCCACCUGUCAAACAGGGACGAAAGUCGGCCUUAGUGAUCUGAUGGUGUCGAAUGGAAGGGCCAUCUCUCAACAGAUAAAAGUUACUCUAGGGAUAACAAGUUGAUCUUCCCCAAGAGCUCACGUCGACGAGAAGUUUUGGCACCCUAAUGUUGGUUCUUCGCCACCUGGGGCUGUAGUAAAUGGUCUCUCAACUUUAACUCAAUUGAAGCGAUGGUAGCUAAACUUUAUUUCCAAGACCAUUGGUUCCUUAACUAGUUAAAA
rnacentral:rRNA from 1 species